ensembl:lncRNA
UUGUUCUUAUCAUUGGGUUAAGGUUAAUAUUUAGUUAAUUUAAAUAAAUUAUUUAUUGUUAUAAAAUGUAUAAUUUUAUUCGAUGGCAAGUUCAUUAAAACAUAAAACAUUAAGAAGUGAUCAAUAUAAUCGGCGUGCUUCUAGCAUCUGUGGGAGGAAGGAAACUGGUAUCAGUACACUAUGAACUCUAUUUCAGUUCAAAAGACGACAAUUAUCACAUAUAUGCCGCUACGGUUGUUGUGACACUCCAGCAGUUAGUUACUGACUUAGUUGGCUGGGUAUGAAUAGGUGCAUAAUUUCUACUGUCAGUGAAACGUAACCCUGCAGUGGGUUACACAAAACUACCUUUUCAAAACACUUUGAAAAUAAACCCAAUAGGCAGAACUCAGCAGUCUGGGAUGGAUGGAUGGAUGGAUACUGCUCAUACUGCUUGUUACUACAUCAUCAUAAUAUUACUCAUUCACACACUGACACACUCAAAAUUGCACUCAUUAUUAUGCCAUAAAUGUAUUGUCAUGUUUAAGGCUGCUGGAAAGUACCUUCCUCGCAGGGGGAAGGUAACAAGACAGAGAAGGUUUAGCAAGUUUUGAUAAAGCUGAUCUCCUGCUAAAAUAUCUUAACAUCUUGGGAAACAGACAUACAGUCACAAAACAUUCAUACGUCUUUUGUCAUUUCUUUGGAGAACCAACGAUUAUUUUCUAGCACUUAUCUGAGGUAUGAAAUCAAAUGUUACAGAUUUCUAUUCUCUUAACUAGGCUGUAUUAAAACAUUAUAAACAUUCAUGUCUCCUCCACUGUACGUAGUCUAAUACUGUUCACUAAUGUUUAAUUUCCAGGAAUGCAGCUGGUGUUUAGGAUUGGACUUGGAACCAUGUCAGCUGUUUCAGUAAUGUUACACAUUAAUAACACAUCUGCAAACCUGUACACACAAAAAGUGAAGAAAACAUCUAUAUUUUUUUCUGAACUGUGGAUUACUAUGCUGUUUGGAUGAAGAAAACUGUGGCCUGUACUUGUCUGAGAAUGGACACCAGCUUGCAUCAAAAAUCCCUGCCACUUUCUCCUGAUCAAGAGAGGGAGAGAGAAGAAAUAAUAAAGAAAGGUAGGAUGGAAGGUUUAAGAAUCUACAUAUGUAUACAGUACAUUUACUUUUUCGCUAAUGCUAUUUGUAAUAUAUUAUUUAUAGUACUUUUUGACAUUUACCAUGAGAAGAAUAAGUUUCCAAACCCUUUUGAAAAUAUCUGA